UGAGACCGGCGCACGGGUGCGUAACGCGUAUGCAAUCUACCUUUUACAAAGGGAUAGCCCAGAGAAAUUUGGAUUAAUACCUUAUAGUAUAGUAUAAUCGCAUGAUUUAACUAUUAAAGAUUUAUCGGUAAAAGAUGAGCAUGCGUCCCAUUAGCUAGUUGGUAUGGUAACGGCAUACCAAGGCUUCGAUGGGUAGGGGUCCUGAGAGGGAGAUCCCCCACACUGGUACUGAGACACGGACCAGACUCCUACGGGAGGCAGCAGUGAGGAAUAUUGGUCAAUGGACGCAAGUCUGAACCAGCCAUGCCGCGUGCAGGAUGACGGUCCUAUGGAUUGUAAACUGCUUUUAUACAGGAAGAAACA
rnacentral:rRNA from 1 species